UACAGAGGUCUCAAGCGUUGUUCGGAUUCAUUGGGCGUAAAGGGUGCGUAGGCGGCGCUGUAAGUCGGGUGUGAAAUCUCGGAGCUUAACUCCGAAACUGCAUUCGAUACUGCCGUGCUUGAGGACUGGAGAGGAGACUGGAAUUUACGGUGUAGCGGUGAAAUGCGUAGAUAUCGUAAGGAAGACCAGUGGCGAAGGCGGGUCUCUGGACAGUUCCUGACGCUGAGGCACGAAGGUCAGGGGAGCAAACGGG
rnacentral:rRNA from 1 species